rnacentral:rRNA from 1 species
UACGUAGGGGGCAAGCGUUAUCCGGAUUUACUGGGUGUAAAGGGAGCGUAGACGGUUCAGCAAGUCUGAUGUGAAAGCCCAGGGCUUAACCCUGGGACUGCAUUGGAAACUGUCGGACUAGAGUGCAGGAGAGGUAAGUGGAAUUCCUAGUGUAGCGGUGAAAUGCGUAGAUAUUAGGAGGAACACCAGUGGCGAAGGCGGCUUACUGGACUGUAACUGACGUUGAGGCUCGAAAGCGUGGGGAGCAAACAGG